GCCGGUCCUCGGUAGUGGCCUCCUGGUUGCCAAGUGAAUCUGGCAGUGCCCAGGGGACUUCGAUCGAAGACCGGC
rfam:Lentzea albidocapillata strain DSM 44073 genome assembly, contig: LX89DRAFT_scaffold00006.6